GGAAGCAGUGAAAGCAGCUCUCGUGCCAGUGCCGAUCCUUGUAGGAAAGAUCCUGCAGAAUUCCAAACCACCAAGAAAAUGGUAGGCAUGGUCCUGGGAGCACCGUACCAAAGAAAUGACAGAUCUUUUGAUCAAGCCUAUGCCUUGUGCCUGGAACACUUGCCCCUUCUCACCUCCACCUCUUGGGACCCCUAAAUCCCUUCAAGGCUCAGCUCCAGAGUGACCUCCUGCAAGAGACGUCAUUGAUCCUCAUCCAGAAUGAAGGACGAACAACAGCCUUCAGGAGACCUUUCUGGUAUAUCCCCAUAGUUGUUGAUGCCCCACCUCCAAAUCACUUUGCUUUUAUAUUGUAUGUAUCCUUUAUCUUUUUUAUCUGUGAACAUAGUGUACCACCUCUAAGAAUUUAAGCUCCUUGAAGGCAGGGAUUGUUUUGUAUUUUCAAGUCCAGCACCUAGCAUGAUU